rnacentral:lncRNA from 1 species
CAUAGAAUCCACAAUUUUUUUUUGGUAUACUAGUAAAGUUACCAACGCAUUGCGGCAGGCUAAUACUAUAAAAGACAGAAAAUUGAUAAAAUAAAAAUUUUAAAAUUUUUUUGACUUGCCAUAAAAUAUCAAUAAAUAUAAAUAAUAUGAAAAAAGAAUAUAAAGAGAUCUUAUUUUACUCUUUUUUUGUGAAAUUAAUUUGUUUAGAUGACAAUAGACCAUGUGAAUGUAUUAAUUGAAAAGUGAGCGGGUGAGAAGACGAAGUAUAUGGCAGAAAUGAGAAGUAGGAAGGCGAAGCAUCAAAAAAUGAGAAAAUGAGAGAAGGCAAGGAUAAAAAAGAAACUGCCAUGUGGCAAAUUUUAUGAGAAAUAAUAUAUAAAUAAAUAAAUAAAAAAUAUAGAUAGAAGAUGAAAAUUCUGUCUCAAGGAUUAUACACAUAACUAAAUUAA